AUCGUUCAUCCCCAAGGGGGACGCAAAUGCCGACUGAAGGAACGGGUC
rnacentral:ncRNA from 2 species